UACGUAGGGCGCAAGCGUUGUCCGGAAUUAUUGGGCGUAAAGAGCUCGUAGGCGGCCAGUUGCGUCUGCUGUGAAAUCCCGGGGCUCAACCCCGGGCGUGCAGUGGAUACGGGCUGGCUAGAGGCAGGCAGGGGAGAACGGAAUUCCCGGUGUAGCGGUGAAAUGCGUAGAUAUCGAGAGGAACACCGGUGGCGAAGGCGGCCUUCUGGACAGCAACUGACGCUGAGACGCGAAAGCGUGGGGAGCAAACAGG
rnacentral:rRNA from 1 species